ensembl:lncRNA
CGUACCGUUACAAUAAAGUAAAGAAAUAAAUACGUUAAAAAAAAGAAAAAGAAGAAGAAGAAGGAGGCAGGACGAGCUCGGCGGUGCUGUGGGGAGGUGGGCUUUGUUUUAGGGCCGCGCGGGGGGGUGAACGGGGACGGGCUGGCUGCCGCUGCCGGUGUCAGUGCUCAUUCCACCGGGCGAGGGUCGCGGAGCUGCGCGGGCACAGCGCGGAGCAGCCCCCUCCCCCCUCAUCCUCUAUUCACGUUCAAGGUUUAUCGGCGGGGUCACGUCCAUUGACGUCAUCUCGAGGCAUCGCUGUACAUCCUGAUACAUUCACAUACAUCGGGGGAAUCAGGGCAUUAAAACAACAAAAUAAAAGGAACAUGGAACACGUAAAUCCCGCUGCUCGGAGAAGAGACCGCGGAUCCCCGGAGGGACCGCCCCCACUGAGGAAGAUCCUAAUUAACGGAAGAAGCAUUUGGACCCCCUCUUUCCUUCAAAACAUCAUCAUUAUCAACACAAACACCCCCGAAAUGGGCAAUCCGGGACGGGAGAAGAGCCCGGCUGGGAGCGAGGUGGCUCCGGUCCAUGAUCCGGCCUCCACGCCGCGACAUCCUCCUCCUCCUCAUCCUCCUCCCGCUGGCACCAGCAUGUGCUACUAUGCAUAUAUAUGCAUAUACUGAUGCAUAUGUAAAGCGGCUGCCGGCGAUUCCCUCCAUCCCAAUCCAUCAUCAUCCUCCCCUCCCUAUGCUGUUAAUUAGUGCAUGUACAGCUCCCAUGUGUCAUCCCCCCCAAGCAUAUGCAGAGGAGAGAGGCCGCAGAGAUGUACUUCUCCAUGUCCGUUCCCACCGUGCAUCCUCCAUCCUCAUCCUCUAUCCUCAUUCUUCUCCUCCCGCUCCACCUACCCCGGCGGCCGCCUCCGCGGCUCGCUUACCCCACGCAUUGCCGUCGCCCCGCUUGGACGGGGAUGGCCGCCUCCCCCCCAUGAGCACCACCCUCCCGGAAUGGGAUUGCCGGGGCUCCCCGUCUCAGCAUCAUCCCCCCCUUCUCCCUCUCCUCCUCCCUUUCACCCCUCCCAGCGUUAGCGAGCAGCGGACCCGCGAAUCACGGCGGCGGCCUUUGAAUGAGCCCCAUGCAGGGGAGGAGGUAAGGAGGAGGGCCCCUCCCCCGCCCUGCCUGCCCUCCCCCCCUGACACUCACUACUUGUGGUCUUGGGAUAAGAACAAUAAAUACACCCCCCGACACACGCGUUACUGAGUAUCAGCCUUUUCAUAGCUAAAACUAAGGGCGCGUAUGUCCCGCAGUCACUCGUUCGAGUGCUGCCGAAGUUGAAGGUUGCACGGAUUUCCACCCAGGAUAGGUAAAUAAAGAAAUUAAUGCAUAAAACCACUAAAUAAUGCACAAGUUUGGGGUGGCCGCUGCAGUGCCAAGGGGAUGAGACGAGGUGCCAGGACUGAAAAUAAUAAUAAUGCAUGAAAUAGAUCCUCUUCCUGGCCUUAUCUAUCUAUCUAUCUAUCUAUCUAUCUAUCUAUCUAUCUAUUUUAUCCUCCAUGCUUUUAAUACCCCAAUUCCUCUAAAACAAGUAUUCAUCAUUUUACACUUAGAUUUUGUCCCUCGUCUCUUCAGCCCUAUCUGUCUCCUUAUCAAAAAGCGUAAAUAAUCGUGACUCCCUGAAAGGCGGAGGAGGACUAUUUUGGCACAUCCUCUGCACACGGACAUACUUGUUUUGGCAUUAUUUAUAUAUUUAGAACAUAUAGAAGAGUAGAGGUGCGGGUAUAUAGGAACGUCGUGUGGGGCAUUUUUUUUUCUUUCCUUUUCUUUUCCCUGGCAAGAUUUAGAUACUGAAAUAGAAAAAUGUAAAAGGCAAACACAUAAUAUUGGGUGAAGCAACUGAAAUUUGGCAUGAGAAAAAUAAGGGGUUUUUUUUGUGUGUGUUUGUUUGGUUUUUUAAGCAAGGAAAAUGGUGAAUUUAGAGUUUUCUGCCUACACACACACAAAUAUUAAAUCGUAAUUUUAAUUCCUUACACAAGGAAUUAAAUAUGCUUUCCUUGCAUAUACAACCUCACGGUACC